rnacentral:tmRNA from 1 species
GGGGACGUUACGGAUUCGACAGGGGUAGGUCGAGCUUAGGUUGCGAGUCGAGUCGGCAAUCUCGUAAAUAAUGCCAACGCCAAAAUAACUGGCAAACAAGAACAAAACUUCGCUUUAGCAGCGUAAGCUAGCUAGCGGUCUCCCCGUCCAUCGCCCGUGUGGUACGGUACGGGACUCACUUAAGCGGGAUACGUCGUUUAUCUGCCGUCUGAAGGUAGCGAAAGAGAACAACCAGACUAGCUUUAACUGGCGCCAGUUGAUGGGCCGAUGAUAAAGCGAACCCUUUAAAUACAUCAACUACACUCGUAGACGCUUAAGUGCCGAUACUUUUGGACGUGGGUUCGACUCCCACCGUCUCCACCA